GAUGAACGCUGGCGGCGUGCUUAACACAUGCAAGUCGAACGGAAAGGCUCCUGCUUGCUGGGGUACUCGAGUGGCGAACGGGUGAGUAACACGUGGGUGAUCUGCCCUGCACUUCGGGAUAAGCCUGGGAAACUGGGUCUAAUACCGGAUAGGACGAUGGUUUGGAUGCCAUUGUGGAAAGUUUUUCGGUGUGGGAUGAGCUCGCGGCCUAUCAGCUUGUUGGUGGGGUAAUGGCCUACCAAGGCGUCGACGGGUAGCCGGCCUGGGAGGGUGUACGGCCACAUUGGGACUGAGAUACGGCCCAGACUCCUACGGGAGGCAGCAGUGGGGAAUAUUGCACAAUGGGCGCAAGCCUGAUGCAGCGACGCCGCGUGGGGGAUGACGGCCUUCGGGUUGUAAACUCCUUUCGCUAGGGACGAAGCGCAAGUGACGGUACCUGGAGAAGAAGCACCGGCUAACUACGUG
rnacentral:rRNA from 1 species